rnacentral:lncRNA from 1 species
UGUUAUCUCAACUUCGCCCUUCCUUUCUUCGAUGGUUGGCCAAUUCUCCGAAAUUCUCAACUCCCCUAUCUUCAUUAACUACCACCUCCACCAUAUUACUGUUGAACUCCUGUUGUUCCUCUUUGAAGCUCAAUUUCCUUUCAGAUUUCUCUCUGGCAUCUAAUUGAGCUAUACCACUUAUAUCGGGUACAGUUUUUCCAACAUCCUUACUUGACUCAUUCCUCCCCCUAUUUCCACUACAGUCUUACUCUUUUGGAUCUAAACUAUUUGAAGUUGAACUGCCCUUACUAGCAUAAAACACCAAACUUGCGCUAUUAACUUCCUCAAAUCCAUUAACACUCAAUUGCAACUUAGUAUUAUUUGACUCUUUUUCCUUCAUCUUAACUGGCUCGAAAUUUUUUGCACCAGACACAAUUGCCACGUUAUCAGAUUUCUUAAACUCAUUAGCCACUGAUUAUCCUCCGCUUACACUCGAUUGUUUCUCUCCAAAAUUUGUAUCAACACCAAUAACAAAUACCUCACUUUCCCAAUUUGUAUUUAACGUUGAUCUAUUCUUAUCACCACAAAAAAUAGGGCAUGUUAUUCCAGUUACCGGAAUGUAAUGGUUGGACUGAUCUUUGGAGGCUGAUUUAGCCUCAAUUAUUUUAGUUAGCAUUGAAAUCAUCAGCUCAUGAUUCCUAUUAAAAUUUUCCAUUAUGCUAUCCAAUCGAGAGACACCCAUGGAUUGUAGCUGCUCUGAUACCAUUUGUUAUGGUCGAAGCUCAACUUCAAUCAAAACUUGUUAAAUUCCAACCAACAUCAACACACAAUUUAAGAUACUAAGCUGAAUUCAAUAACUCAGAUUAAUUGAACUCAAAUUAUAGGGAAAUAAUGGAAUGUAAACUGUACAUUGUUGAUUGAUA